rnacentral:misc_RNA from 1 species
AACUAACGCAAAUAAAAGUAACAGUUUCUGUAGUUUAUUGGUAUGAGAAACUUCCAGAAGUGACACACAAUCACUUCAGGCAACUUUUCCACCGCGACCUUCGGGUCG